GUCGAGCGGAUGAAGAGAGCUUGCUCUCUGAUUCAGCGGCGGACGGGUGAGUAAUGCCUAGGAAUCUGCCUGGUAGUGGGGGACAACGUUUCGAAAGGAACGCUAAUACCGCAUACGUCCUACGGGAGAAAGCAGGGGACCUUCGGGCCUUGCGCUAUCAGAUGAGCCUAGGUCGGAUUAGCUAGUUGGUGAGGUAAUGGCUCACCAAGGCGACGAUCCGUAACUGGUCUGAGAGGAUGAUCAGUCACACUGGAACUGAGACACGGUCCAGACUCCUACGGGAGGCAGCAGUGGGGAAUAUUGGACAAUGGGCGAAAGCCUGAUCCAGCCAUGCCGCGUGUGUGAAGAAGGUCUUCGGAUUGUAAAGCACUUUAAGUUGGGAGGAAGGGCAGUAAAUUAAUACUUUGCUGUUUUGACGUUACCGACAGAAUAAGCACCGGCUAACUCUGUGCCAGCAGCCGCGGUAAUACAGAGGGUGCAAGCGUUAAUCGGAAUUACUGGGCGUAAAGCGCGCGUAGGUGGUUCGUUAAGUUGGAUGUGAAAGCCCCGGGCUCAACCUGGGAACUGCAUUCAAAACUGACGAGCUAGAGUAUGGUAGAGGGUGGUGGAAUUUCCUGUGUAGCGGUGAAAUGCGUAGAUAUAGGAAGGAACACCAGUGGCGAAGGCGACCACCUGGACUGAUACUGACACUGAGGUGCGAA
rnacentral:rRNA from 1 species